CAGGAAGUAGUUUAAAUAGAAUAUCAGCUUUGGG
rnacentral:tRNA from 1 species